CCUUUUGUCAUAGAUGGAUUUGGCUUUUGCCCCAGUCUCUCCCACAGGCUCCAAAUCGCUCGCAAUUCACCUCUGCAGCGUAUCCAGACAUGCUAUGGCCCUGAAAUGGGCCAAUCGAAGCUAAGGAAACAUUAAAGAAGAGAAGAGGAGACACCAGUGGGCAAAGGAGAUGCACAGGAUCAGGGAGGAAGCUGUAUGCCUUGUUCAUCUCUGUUUACUCCUGCUGUCUCCCAUGCCGCAGACGGAAAGAACAAGAAGAGGGGCAGAGAAACGGAGACGCUGGAGAGUUACACACCAAGCAUGGAAGGCUGAAAGAGAGAGAGUGAUGAAGACAUGCCAGUGGACACUGCGGUUUCGCAAGGGCAGGCAAUGGGGAAAGGGAGAGCAGCUCAAAUCCACUGUCACCCUGCGGCUCCAGGGAAUGUUGCUUGGGGAAAGGCACAGGGGAGAAAUCUCUGUUCGACACCCAGCUGAGAACAUUAUUGGAUCGGCCAGAUUAUGGGGAAGAAAGCUAAGAAAAAGAAGGUCCAAGCAAGACGGAUUUAGCUCUAUGGUGACUGUCAGUGACACGGUGGGAGUCUGCAAUGCUUAAUGCUCAUCAGGAGCUCCCACGUUGGAGUUUCACCCAUCCCAAGGGCACGCUGCUUGCUUUGGGAUGACAUGGGAUUACAGGCGGUCCAGUCUCAGCGGAGCCUCAGGUUGGCAGGAUAUUAAUUAAGUAAUUAUCAUGCCGUGAGGUACAGCUAUGAAUUAUGCAUGAGGUCUUGAUUGGGACAUUUGUGAUUGUGUAAUCUAAUUUCAGCCAUAUGUCUGACGCCUUUAGCUGAGUGUCUAACAUCUGAGAGCGCCCAAGCACAAAUACAUACAAAUACAUUUUCAGGUUUUCAAUUAUAUAUUUAAAAUUCUAACAUAUUCAAAUACAGAAGGUUUUCUUUUGCACUGUGGACACACACUCAUCAUCAUAAAGAUUAUCGGAAAGACCGGAAUACCAAUAUAUUAUUGAUUUUUACUAAUAUAGGAAAGACUAGUCAGACUUUUUUACUCUAAUACAAAAUACUGUAGCACUGAUAUAUAAUAGAAUAUUUCUCAGGGUAUGUUCCUCAAUGCUGGUGAUAUAAGUAUGUAUAUAUCAACUGGCCCUGGCCUCCUCAUAACAUAUAUAGAUACAGUUAUGCUACUGCUGUUCUGAAACAUCAUCCAACAAAUAUUCCUAUUGACUAAUUUACAUACCUCUUUUGAAAUUUAACAGAAUAAAUUUGUCAAACAAAUUUGUUGGAAACAAAGAACAAUUUCCCAUUAUGCUGAUUAGAGUGAAACUAAUUCAUCAAUUUGGAUUAUUCUUCAUGUUGAUAAAGACUGAGUCCAGAUUAACUCUCUUUAUCCAGUUCACAUAAUGGUAUUUGCUCAAGUGUGAGAUUAUGCUAAUCCGAGAGCACACAACGAUGAUCAAUAGACCAGAUUACUGCGUUAUGGAAAUAAUGAAAUAAAAACAAGCGUUUAAACAUCUGUCCCUGAAAGGCAGAUCCCAAAUCUUGUUUACAUGCAGAGAUGUGAAAUUGCGUAAUACAUUGUGCAAGCCUUUAACAUCUUAGAUCAAAUCUUAAUUAAAAAACAUUAUUUCCUGAAUAUGCCUGGAUGUCGUUUUUAUUUAGUUCAUUUAAUUGAAUUCAAUUAUUGCUGCAACACACAGGAAACAAUUAUCACUUUUUAGUAUAUUGAUGAUAAUGAUUAUUCUGAUGAACAACCUUUCGUUGGUGUAGUCGUUACUUUAAUGAUCCCUGUAAGAUGCCUGUAAUGGUACUCAAUCUGCAAGAAAGCAAUAACAAUGCCAGAACAAAUCAAAAGUGUUAUUCAGAAUUACACUCCAGCAGCUGAAGAUAUCUGUUGAUUUUGGCACUGACGGCUUGCUGUGUGCUUUGGGGUCCCUGUCUGCUUCCUCUUCUCUGUGUUUUACUCCCACACUUUUCCUUUCCCGUGUUUUAUUGAUAAAAGAACGUCUGAGUGGUGGAAUGUCUUUCUGUUCUCUCACUUCAUGUUUCAGGAAGAAGCCUCACAUUCACAAGUCAAUAAUGAGCAAGAGAUCUGCGCCACAGGAUGAACUGAUGCCUGAAACAGUGUUUUUGUUCAAGUGUUCGUUUGCUUCAGUGCUCUUUGGAGGUCUGCCUGCUGCCCUUUUCUGAAGUGGACCAGAGGCUGAAACACAUAAAAUAAUGUUUGCUUCAAUGUAGCGAAUAAAGUAAAUUAUCAAAUUAGAAUUUCACACAUAUUCCUGCUAUUAAGAACCGACUACUAAAUUAUUAGGAUGUUCAUAUGAGCCAGUAGAAAUAAGAAGUGCUAUAGUUCGGAGUUGUACUCUUUAUAUGCACUAAAGGCCUGUUUACACCAAGAGGGAAAACUAUAAUGCUAACUAUAUUAUCAACCAUACAACAGAUGAUAAAGUUAUGUAUAUUUUAAAACACCACAUGUCUGCUUGUGCAAAGAUGAGUUAUGUUUCAGCAUUAGCAUUUUAGCAUUAGCAUUUUAGGGAUGUUUUGAAUGGGUCUUUGGUUAAAUGUCUGAAAUAAGAUCUGUAAAUUAAAUAGUCUGUUUUGUUUUUUAAAGCCUUAUAGUUUAAAAUCUUGCUUCUGGAACUAUUCUAACUCAAACUUUCAGGACUAAAGGGUUGUCGGAAGUUUAAUGGUGAUGACUUUGAAGGCGUACAGUAAUUUGUUUAUAGCCUAUUAGCUUUUUAUUUCUGGUGAUUGUAUUUUGUAUUUGUGAAGAUUAUCAUUAUGAACAAAACACGUAAGAAACUUUUGUUGGUCACAGAGCUUAUUUUCUGUCAACAGUGACUAUACGUAUUUAUGAUUUAUUUGUAAAAUAUUUCUUAAUUGGCUAAAAUGUCCGGGUUUUGUCUUUGUUUUCCUAUUGUUUUCAUAUUUGAUCAAGGAAAUGAUUGAAAAGUAGUUUGACCAAUACAGCUGCAGGCAAAGUACAUAAUCAACUAUUCAUGGUGUGCAAGAAGGUAGGACAUACAGAGAAUGGUCAAAGCAAUUCAGAUAUGCAUAAUGUAUGAGGAUUGUGGAGAGCAUGUCAAUAGGAACACAAAGCCAAAACCUGGACAUUUUCAACAAUUAAAAAUUCCUGGCCAGGACAUGUAGGGAAAAAGAGGAUAUAUGGUCACCCAAUGACUACUGAAAACAACUGCAGAUUAUGCACUUGUUUUUGCUAUUGAAUUUUUGAAACAUUAUGCCUUGCUUGUAAUGAAAAAUUAAGGUAAUAUAAAUUGCUUGUAAGUCGUGUUCCAUACACCCUAAAGAAACUGUAUGAACAACAAAUGGAGCAUGAAUUUAUAUUGAAUGUUGCCUCCAUAUUUCAGAAGUCUACCACAAGGUAUACAGGAAUAUCUGCAUACGGUGCAGUUCAACCUAUACUCGUCAACAAGGAGUUCAUUGAUUCAGGUGUUCUUCUCUUACUUGAUUUUUUUUUUCUUCACUCCUUUUUAUUGAUUUUGAACAUGUGUAUUGGGCAGUAUGAUGCUGAAUGGAUUGCAUGGCGCCAGAAUAUCUCUCUGUGUGCCUAGUAAUUUAUAUCUGAAUCAUUUAUCUUGUCCAGUGUGUUCUUGCUCGGCCAACCUCACAAUCUGACUCUGAUGGCUGACUCCAACAACGGUUUGUCUCUCUCUGUCCUCCUGUCCCCCUCUUUUUUGAACAAUGUUUUAAAUUUUCUUUCUUUUUAAUGUAUCUAUUUUGUUGGUAGCCAUUUGGGAUUUUCAGUCUAAUGCAUGCACAAAAUAGCUGUGAAGUACAUAAGAGAUGUUGUAAUUCAGGUUUUACAGUAUAAACAAUAGUUCAAACUCCAUCUGAAAAAGUGAAUGCAGCAACACUGAAUCGCUGUGGCUUUAAAGAGCUCAUGUUCUGUUACAUCUGUGUAAGAUGCACAUCCUCAGCUUAAAGAGCUCCCCAGUGCAAUGGCUGCCCGGACUUAAAACAGAGAAAUAAGGAGAGGAGAAUAAAGAUGUGUUUCUCCUCUCCCGAGAGCGAGCAGCCGUUCUCUCCUUCUGUGUUGGUUUUGAGAGCAGUUCUUUGUCUUCUAUGUUCCCUGGACCCCUGUGGUCUGAAAAGAGCCCUCUGCAGGGGCCUGACUGAACUCAGACUCUGAUUUCUGUGCUAAGGGUUCACGUAGCGUAGAGCCCGUUUCUGAGUUAAAAGCACACAGUGAGUUACUUCUAAAUUGUUGAUUUUUUCAUCUCUUAGAAAGACACAGUCUUUGUGAUUGAAUUAUGCUUCAGGCUUGAGCUUUGAAGACAUCCAGUUUUAUUCCAAAAUACACCAUAAUUUUCAAUGUGCAAAGUGCAUGAUAUUUCUGCAUAAAUUGUGUUCCAAAACCACGUGAACUGCCUGCUAACUAAGUAGCAACCUUCUAAGAAAACAUUCUAAUAGUACACUACCACUGUUGUUUUUGUUUAAAUAAAAAUACUUUUAUGUCGUAUUCAGCAAGGAUGCAUUAAAUUGAUCAUAAGUGACAGUAAAAUAAAAAUAAAAUCUAUUUAAAAUAAUUGCUUAAAGUAAAAUAAAAAUAAAAUAUAACUUUAAAAUAAUUGACUUUAAAAUAGACAAUUUUUGUUGCAACAAAAUAUCAAACAGUACAAUCAUUUCAGCUGCGAUAAUGGAAUUAAAUGUUAUUUGAGCACCAAAUAAUGAUAUUAGAAUAGAUUUCUGAAGGAUCACGUGACACUGAAGACUGGAGUAAGGGCCGCUGAAAAUGUAUUUCUGCUGAUGGCUUGGCCAUCACAGAAAUAAAUCACAUUUUAAAAUAUAUUCAAAUAGAAAACAGUUAUUUUAUAUUGCAAUAAUAUUUCACAAAAUUUGAUUAUUUAAAAUAUAUAUAUAUAUAUUUAAUUAUUUUAUAUGGCAAAGCAGUUUGCAUAGAUUUAUUAUUUUUUAUUUUUUAUUUUUUAUCAUUUACUGCCCUCUUGGAUUUUUUUUUCCACUAAAUUAAAUGCAGUGCACUGUAG
rnacentral:lncRNA from 1 species